UACGGGGGGGGCAAGCGUUGUUCGGAAUUACUGGGCGUAAAGGGCUCGUAGGCGGCCAACUAAGUCGGACGUGAAAUCCCCAGGCUCAACCUGGGAACUGCGUCCGAUACUGGAUGGCUUGAAUCCGGGAGAGGGAUGCAGAAUUCCAGGUGUAGCGGUGAAAUGCGUAGAUAUCUGGAGGAAUACCGGUGGCGAAGGCGGGAUCCUGGGCCAGUACUGACGCUGAGGCGCGAAAGCUAGGGGAGCAAACGGG
rnacentral:rRNA from 1 species